rnacentral:rRNA from 1 species
CCCGCUGAACUUAAGCAUAUCAAUAAGCGGAGGAAAAGAAACCAACAGGGAUUGCCUCAGUAACGGCGAGUGAAGCGGCAACAGCUCAAAUUUGAAAUCUGGCUCUUUCAGGGUCCGAGUUGUAAUUUGUAGAAGAUGCUUCGGGUGUGGCUCCGGUCUAAGUUCCUUGGAACAGGACGUCAUAGAGGGUGAGAAUCCCGUAUGUGACUGGUUGCCUUCGCCCAUGUGAAGCUCUUUCGACGAGUCGAGUUGUUUGGGAAUGCAGCUCAAAAUGGGUGGUAAAUUUCAUCUAAAGCUAAAUAUUGGCCAGAGACCGAUAGCGCACAAGUAGAGUGAUCGAAAGAUGAAAAGCACAUUGGAAAGAGAGUUAAACAGUACGUGAAAUUGUUGAAAGGGAAGCGCUUGCAACCAGACUUGCACGCGGUUGAUCAUCUGGUGUUCUCACCAGUGUACUCUGCCGCGUUCAGGCCAGCAUCGGUUUUGGUGGUUGGAUAAAGGCCCUGGGAAUGUGGCUCCUUUCGGGGAGUGUUAUAGCCCUGGGUGCAAUGCAGCCUACCGGGACCGAGGACCGCGCUUCGGCUAGGAUGCUGGCGUAAUGGUUGUAAGCGACCCGUCUUGAAACACGG